AGCGGCUACGGCUCGCGAGCCGCCUCCGCCCAACUUUCUCCCUCGGCUUUCCUAGUUUAUUUUCUUUCAGGCGCCCUAAUGGGCGGUUUUGACUUCUUGGUGGCACUGCGUAAUAAGCCAGUGUCACCCCUCUGACUCCCGUCCCCGCACGCGUGAUCUUGUUAAGGAAUUAGUCCUUUUGCGCGGAGUUCGGUUGAAUGAGAAGAAUAGGUUGGCAGCACAGACUUGUGAGAGGAAGUAGAUGAAAAAGAGUCUUUGGCACUUGUUUAGCCGGAAUCUGAGAAUAAUUUUGGAAAGUAUUCUCUGGAACAAGGGGGUGGGCAGAAGCUGGCUCCUGUAAAAGGACUCCCUACAGGAAAACGGAGACCUGUAAUGUAGAACGACCGCCUCGCCUUACGGAUGGGAAGCUGAGGACAGUCGUCGCUGUAAAACUUUGACAGGUGCCCAAUAUGAGAUGAAAAGAACAAGGGAAACGGGCCUAAGUCGUGUGAUAAGGGGCUCCAGGAAAGAAGCACCCCUCUGAAACUGGCCAGUAAGUCGUGUGAGACAGUGAUGGAGAAGACAGUAUGAGAAACAUGAAAGUUUUCGUUGUCUAAAAGGU
rnacentral:lncRNA from 1 species